AGCAUAAAAUCGGUGAAGUUUUGACUGAGUGGUACAAAUGAUUAUGUCAUUAAUUUUUAUUUUAAUCCUUUGGAAAUUGUGUGAAAUUAAUCAUUUGCGCAAACUUAUUUUGUCUUGUUCCUUAUUAUUAUUUUAGUAUUUAAUUUAUACAAGUAGAAUUAAGCAACACUAUGUAGGUGUUUUUAAAAUUAAAUGGAAACUAAAAUAAUUCGACCACAAAGUCGGUAAAUUGUAGAUAAUCGUAUUAUUUUUUUCUUGAUUUAGGGCCAGGGUUCGUUCGGUUCGGUCCGACAUACGUAUAGAAGCGUUGUAUAAUAACCUAGGGUACGCCAAGUACAAGUCAUUUCCACAUAUCUGAGCUCUGAGUGCGAUGUUGUUUCUCGGCACAUAACGACCAUCAUCUCUGAGUAACGCAUCCACCGUGUCGCAUUCGAACCGGUACUGGGCGCCAGUCCACGUUAACCCUUUGCCGCUUCCGAAGGUUGCUUUUCGACGCGAUCGACCGGAACUUUGUCGUUGAGCGUUGCACGUGAACGUCGUCAUUUGAUGCAGUGCCAGCAGAACAGUAACCAUUAGCGUCGACGGGUUCACAGAUAUCAUGACGAUAACCGACAUUUUAUCUGCAAAGAAAAAAUUAUGCAUUUGAAAACAGACAUCGUGUAAAAAUAAUAUAAUGCGAGUGAUAUGGUGUACAAUUACGCAGUUCACCGGAAUGUCGAGAAGAAAAAACUACACUAGUGAUAAUACAUCAUACAUGGUCACGAAUAUGGAAAUGCCCAUGUCAAGUACGAUAGGUGUAUAUAUGUUAUUAUACAUUGUAUUGAGUGUAUAGCAAAUUUAACGCGGUGAUAUGACAAAGAAGUGUGUGAAGGUCGUAAAUGUUGUUGAGGACUACAAUAGUUACAUAUUAUACCCGUGUUGUUGCGCUACAAGUACUCCGUAUAAGUCGAAAAAACGCGCACGUGGACUGUAAUAGUGGACCUUUGCAAAACACGACGAUCAAUUAUCUAAAUAUUUAUUAUAUUAUUGUAUUUUAGAAAGGCACGUGAAAAAAAUAUAUGAUAUGCAGUAGCACACACCUGUGGGAACGGAGUUUCCCGUUGAUCGAUGGGUGUCAAUACCACAAACAGUAUAUUAAUUUUAAUAUAAAAUGUUUCAAUAUUUGUAUACUUUAAUAGUAUAAUUUGUAAUGAUUAAAUUUAAUACUUCAUACAUAAUAUAUAUUUUAACGAUUAUUGUAUUGUUAUAAGCUAUUGGGGCAGAAUUUUAUUACAAAAAUUAUUCAGCCACUAACGGUUGUUGAAUUUGUGGUCAUUUUCGACAUUUUUCGCAACUAUAAUAAUUAUUGUAUAUAGUAUAAAAUAUUAGAUCAUCACGAAUAGAGGUUUUUAUUUCGAGUCAGUUAGUAUUAUUAUAUUUAUGUACCUAGCCCUAAAUCGAAAAUCAGACUGCUCUGUAUGUAGUAUGUAUAAUACAAUAAAAUAUAAUAAAUUACUUACGGCCGCACGUUACGUACAGUAUUUAUUUUGUACUUAAGAUUAUAAUUUUUUUACUUUAUUUAUUUUUAGGUUGUGAUAACUAGAAGAGUAAAUAAUAUAUAUUAAUAUCGAUUUCAAAAUUAUUUUU